AGUGGGAUAACUGGGUCAAAUGGUUGUUCCAUUACUAGUUUUUUUGAGAAAUGUCCAUAGUGUUUUCCAGAGCGGUUUCACUAAUUUUUAGUCCCACCAGUAAU
rnacentral:pre_miRNA from 1 species